AGAGAGACAUGCCUUUUACUUUUACUUUUUAACGUUUUGGCAGACUGCCAUUUAGCAUAACCCAGCCUGUAUUUAAGAACCCAAGCCUCCUCAGGAAAUAUGUAAAAUAUUUUUAGAUCUGUGUAUUUUUAUUAAAGUGCUCCGUGGGUGUCAUUCAUAAUAUUGUUGCUCAGUCGUACUGUCUAUAGAGCUCCAAGUUUGAAGAUUAUUUGAUAUAAUCAAUGCUUAGAAAGUGUUAGUCAUAAAUCAGCUGAUUAUUCAAUAAUCAAACACCACUGGCAACAACUGCAAAGCUGAAAUGUGAAAUUUAUUUGCAACAAAACAGUUAGUUUCAACAAAUCCUCAUAUGCAGUUAUAGUACAGCCAUCAUACGUUUCAAUUGAGGAUACGUUUUUCUCUGCCAGAUAAUGAACAAAUACAAUUGUGUUAUUAGCUCCAGACACAUGAAGUUUGAUAAUGUUAAAAGAAUACUCCUCCCAUACAUUGCAUAAAAGCACCUCCUUAUCAGCUUUUUCUUCUUUACUGUCUUUUGAAGGAGAACUGGGCGAACUCAUGCCCGAUGAAGUACUGUCUGUGCAAGCUGAAGGUGGUCGAAGCUCGAUAUCAGAUUUGACGCUGGACUGGUUCUCAAAACUUUCGGAAACUGUACCACUUUUAAAAGUGUUAUGUUUAUUAUCCAAAUGUCCAAGAAUUUUUGAUACUUCAACGUUUUCAACUUUUAAGGGCAUCGAAUUUUUUUGGACAAC